UAUUCCUACGGGACGCAGCAGUGGGGAAUAUUGCACAAUGGGGGGAACCCUGAUGCAGCGACGCCGCGUGGGUGAAGGAGCACCUCGGUGCGUAAAGCCCUAUCGGCAGGGAAGAAAAGCGAACAGGUUCGCCUGGACGGUACCUGACUAAGAAGCCCCGGCUAACUACGUGCCAGCAGCCGCGGUAAUACGUAGGGGGCGAGCGUUAUCCGGAUUCACUGGGUGUAAAGGGAGCGUAGACGGCCAAGCAAGCCAGGGGUGAAAGCCCGGGGCCCAACCCCGGGACUGCCCUUGGAACUGCAUGG
rnacentral:rRNA from 1 species